rnacentral:rRNA from 1 species
GAUGAACGCUGGCGGCGUGCUUAACACAUGCAAGUCGAACGAGAAGUGAAGACGGAAACCUUCGGGCGGAAGGCUUUAUUUCGAGUGGCGGACGGGUGAGUAACGCGUGGGUAACCUGCCUCAUACAGGGGGAUAACAGUUGGAAACGACUGUUAAUACCGCAUAAGACCACAGCACCGCAUGGUGCGGGGGUAAAAACUCCGGUGGUAUGAGAUGGACCCGCGUUCGAUUAGCCAGUUGGCGGGGUAACGGCCCACCAAAGCGACGAUCGAUAGCCGAUCUGAGAGGAUGACCGGCCACAUUGGGACUGAGACACGGCCCAAACUCCUACGGGAGGCAGCAGUGGGGAAUAUUGCACAAUGGGGGAAACCCUGAAGCAGCGACGCCGCGUGAGUGAAGAAGUAUUUCGGUAUGUAAAGCUCUAUCAGCAGGGAGGAAAAUGACGGUACCUGAGUAAGAAGCCCCGGCUAACUACGUG